UACGGAGGGUGCAAGCGUUAUCCGGAUUCACUGGGUUUAAAGGGUGCGUAGGUGGGCAGGUAAGUCAGUGGUGAAAUCUCCGGGCUUAACUCGGAAACUGCCAUUGAUACUAUCUGUCUUGAAUACCGUGGAGGUCAGCGGAAUAUGUCAUGUAGCGGUGAAAUGCUUAGAUAUGACAUAGAACACCAAUUGCGAAGGCAGCUUACUACACAGUUAUUGACGCUGAGGCACGAAAGCGUGGGGAUCAAACAGG
rnacentral:rRNA from 1 species